rnacentral:rRNA from 1 species
AUUGAACGCUGGCGGCAUGCCUUACACAUGCAAGUCGAACGGUAACAGGUUAAGCUGACGAGUGGCGAACGGGUGAGUAAUGUAUCGGAACGUGCCCAGUCGUGGGGGAUAACUGCUCGAAAGAGCAGCUAAUACCGCAUACGACCUGAGGGUGAAAGCGGGGGAUCGCAAGACCUCGCGCGAUUGGAGCGGCCGAUAUCAGAUUAGGUAGUUGGUGGGGUAAAGGCCUACCAAGCCUACGAUCUGUAGCUGGUCUGAGAGGACGACCAGCCACACUGGGACUGAGACACGGCCCAGACUCCUACGGGAGGCAGCAGUGGGGAAUUUUGGACAAUGGACGCAAGUCUGAUCCAGCCAUGCCGCGUGCGGGAAGAAGGCCUUCGGGUUGUAAACCGCUUUUGUCAGGGAAGAAAAGGGUGUUUCUAAUAAAGACGCCUCAUGACGGUACCUGAAGAAUAAGCACCGGCUAACUACGUGCCAGCCGCCGCCGUAACAC